AAACUAUAAUAAUCUUUGGAGAAAUCUCUCCUCAAGUUCGUCUGUUUCCAGUCAUUAACAAAAAGGAAAGAAAAAUGUUAAAGGUACGGAGAAAAGUCCAGUGCGUACAGCUGGUUUCAGCAAUUUCAACUUGCGCAAGACCCGUGUUUGUGAAAGCAACUCAAGAAUCUUUGAACAGGAUGUAAUCAACCUCCGAUCUGCUGAGAAACACUGCAAAAAUGACUUCCCCUGCCAAAAAUAAUAAUGUCGUUUACAAGCAGCUCUUCCAUGUCUAAGGAAGAACUAGCCACACGUGUGAGUUUAUACUGGCUGCAGAGGAGCAAGCAAGAAGGGCAAAUCCCACCUACCCCCGCCUAAAAUACUCAGUAGCAGAACCCACGGGAAUCUGUGGCCGGUUCCAGAGGUGCUGGCAAUAUCCAGGAAGAUUCGUAUCGACAGAAAUCCAAAUGAGAACAAACUUGACACCUGAAAUUGCAGCAGCUGUUUGGUGACCAGAAGGGGACAUGCAGGAGAAGAAAAGGCUGUGAGGACAUAAAGAGGCAGAUCUUAAAGCAAUGUAUUCUGAUCGAGAAACAGCUGGAAAUGGCAGCAACGUGAUAUGGAGCAAUCAAGAACGGAAGGUUUAUUUUGAAUGAGAGGUGUUGUCCAGCUGUGAGACUGAGUGAUUGCAGCUGAGAAUGAGUGCAAACACAAUCACUAGUGGCUCCAGGCAGCAAAGCCAGGUUUAAAAACAAUUAUUAUUCUCUCUCAUGCUGUCUUCCUCUAAGAGGCUUGGGUUUCCCCCUCAAAGGUCACUAUGAAGUCACUGUGAAGAGAUGCCUUCCUAUCUUUUGAAAUCCUGAGGAGUGGAGACUGGAGAAAACGGGUUUCAGUUACCUCAGGUUCACUGUCAUCCAGAAGCAGAGAAUCCUCCUGACUUGACAUCAGAAGGUCAAUAGUUGCUAACACUACGUCACAUUGCCUAGGUCGUGCACCUCACUUCAUCUCAUCAAACAGGCAUUUUUAUCAUCUCACAUCAUCACGAGAAGAGCAAGGUUUUCUGAAGAGGAUCUGAGGUGAACACAUCAGCCUGCAGUGUCCCUAGCAAUGCCAACAAGGACAGUCUACAUAGAGUCCUUCUCCUGCUUUCAUCUCUCCAGCCAGAAAAGAUUUUCUACUUGUAAGGAUGCAGGAUGAGAAUGGACCCACACAGAUAACUUAGAAGAAUCUUUCCAGGUCCUUAAUUUAAUCAAAUCUGCAAAAUCCCUUUUGCCAUAUAAGGUACUGUAUGAUCAAAUGGGAAUGGACCACACUUCAGCUGUGCCAAGGAGAUGGAUGACCAAAUCUGAGAGAGCAAUACAUAGAGACUUAAAAUACAAACACUAUUAUUCCCAUAGAGUAAUUCCUGUCAUGGGAUAUUUGCCAGAUGAGUAUCAUGGCAUUAAUCUCCAUCCACAACUGUCUCAUCUUUCCUUUGGCCCAGCAGCCAAGACAUCUUAGUACCAUUUGGAGAUACUUUGUUUUCAUGAUCUUAUCACCAGUCCUUUACCUAAAGCAGAAAAGACAGCAAAGAAACAUUGAUAGAGGAAAAGAAUAUUGAGACAGUUCUAAGUGGACUGUUGGUUCUGUUAUCUGUGAUGAAUGACAUUUCUCCUUCAUUUAUUUACAUCAAUAUCUAUAAUUUCUGGGUUUCUAAUGCUAGAUGUAUAUCAUAGCUUUCUUUUAAAAUGGGAAUAAUGGUCACAAUAGUGUCUAGUGAACAAAGACAUUAGCCACAUAGUGGCAAAUUACUCUAGGAUGAAGAAAGUCAUUUCUAAUAUCUCUCUUGCAUCUCUCCUAUACACACACACACUCACACACCCAAUAGUUUCUAUCAAAUACCUGAUGGAAUGGCAAGAGUUUCAUAGUUUCAUUACUUGGCAACUUUUGGGUUUGAAAGAAGAUUGGGUGGCAUUAAUGUAGUAUAUGUUAGUUAUCUUAAAAACCACCACCACCACCACUACAGUAAAUAGGCCUCUGUUAAUAAAAUUAAAUAAAUUUCUAGCUCCUCAGGAAAACAAAAUAUUGUCUCAUUGGUGGAGACCAGACCCAAAGCAGAUCACUUUAUUUAUAAUAACUAGAAAUGUCAAUUUCCUUAGGGUUAAUUUUUCUAUAAUCACAAUCACUUUUUGCCCAAGGGAAUUAAUUCUAAAAUUAAGACUAGCCAUUUUGUAUCACUUUUUGUUUCUGAUUAAAAAAGGCAUUACAGACUUUUUGAAUUAAAAAUAAAACUUGAUUUUUUAAAGCAAUUCUUGCCCUAGAUAAAACUUUCAGUCUGAUGCCACCAAACUUUUAGUAGAACAAUUGCAUUAUCAAAAUGGCUACAAAAGAAAUAAUGUUUUCCUUAUUCUGUGGACAUUUCUUAAAUGCCUCUGUCAAUAUUUCCAGUUUCAAAAUACAUUCUAAUAGAAAUUCAGCAAGUGGUAUUUUAAGCAAAUCCUAAUUAGAAACCAUUUGAAUGUCAGUGAUCAAAACAUAGGAAGGGAAACUUGAUAUUUAAUGAUGAGAUGGCACACUUAUAGAAUGCCUUUUCCUGAGAAGAUCAAAACAGAUAAGCACAAGUUUAAGUAUCUGUUUAACACUGAUACCUGGAGUUGGGCACGUACACUAACUUUUCCAGGUGGGGCUAGGAGGAGAAUUGUGUAUUUACCUUGCACAUCUGACAGCACAGGAACAGGCUUGUUUUAUUUAGUGGGAAAAAAGUGGAUAGCCAGGGGUAAAUUGACAUGGAGGAACAGAUAGCCUCAGUUCAAAUACUGUUUGCCUCUGAAAUCAGUGUUACUGUUGACAUCUUCUGUCCACUUUGUUGUCAAUCCCUAAAAUAAUUUAAGGAUUUUGUUCCCUCAGAAAAGAAAGCUUUAAUUCAUUGCUUCGUGUAUGUUGGCAAAAAUGCUUCUGCCAAAGGCUAUUUCUGAAAUACUGCAGUAAGAAGAUCUAAAUCAAUAAAGGAUAAAAAAAUGAAAAAAAAAUAAUAAAGAUGUCCAGCAAUGCCAUGUUCUAUUUAAGUGUCAAGCUAAAAAAUAUGUUGAUACAGAGCUUAGAAAAGAGAUAAGUGCUCCAGUGCUCACUACUUUUACAGUUGGUGAUUCACAACAUACUUUUAAUAAGAGGGUGUGGGUAAAAUGAAAAAAGAGGAAGCUAGUAAAAAUUGACUACACUGUCCUAGCAGCUGCACAAACUACUGUUCAUCUUUUGGUGCAUUUACUUUGUUUCUUUUCCUGCAAAUUAUUAUAUUUUUGUUUGUAAAUUUUUUUGAUAUGAUUUCAAGUUCACAGGAUAUUUUCAAGAAGAGUACAAUAAAUUCCCUGAUACUUUUAACCCAGAUUCAGCAAUUGUUAAAUCUGGCCUCAUUGGCUAUAUCACCUUCUUUCUCUUCACAUCUGUGUGCAUGUGCAUAUACACACACACUUCUGUGUUUGCAUAAGUAUUUGUAACCAGAUACAUAUGCAAAUAUAUUUUUUUCCUGAAUCAUUGAAAGCAUUAUGUCUUUAUUACUAAAUACCAAUAAAAAUCAAGAACUUGAACAUUGUCACAACACAUUAUCUAAUUCAUAUGUUUAACUUUUGCCAGUGUCCCAGCAAGCUAUUGUAUAGUUUUGUCCCCUUAAUACAGCAUCUAGUCUAGAUCAUAUGUUGCAUUUAUUACCAUGUCUGGUUAAUCUCCAUUAAUCUGAAAAGGAUUCUCAAACUUUCUCUUUUUCUUGACCUUGACAUUUUUUAAGAGAUAAUAAUGAUAACAAUAAAUAAUUUUGUAGAA